rnacentral:lncRNA from 1 species
UCAGAAACACCACUUGGGAACAAGAAAGUGUAAGUUCAGCAGCAGAGGAGGAAGAAUGAACCUGUUUAAGUAAAUUCUGAGUGCCUCCAUGGAAAGCCUGCUCUCAUAAACUCCCACAACCAUCUAUGAGCAUGAGAAUGAUGAGAAACAAUCUUCUGAGAAACCAGCUCUGUGUUUACCAGGAGCAAAACCAGGAAAUCUUCUAAGACGGUUCCUCUCCUUGUAGUGUUGACAAGGACACAGGAAGGAUGUGGCCUGAAGAAAUCAAAUGAACAGCAUAAAAUCCUAGCUGCAAUC